CUGACUGCUUCGUGUGCUACGAGAAGGCCAGAUCAAGGUCCUGACACCAUCAAACUGAAGUAAAUUCUGAUUAAAAUAAAGUUCAACCAUUUCCUACCAUGACCACCUCAUUUGCUCUCCACCAUGUUACAUGUCAAUACGAUUUCUUAAUAUUUGUUCUCUUUCUC